UGUGCCAGCCGCCGCGGUAAUUCCAGCUCCAAUAGCGUAUAUUAAAGUUGUUGCAGUUAAAAAGCUCGUAGUUGAACCUUGGGCCUGGCUGGCCGGUCCGCCUCACCGCGUGCACUGGUCCGGCCGGGCCUUUCCUCCUGGGGAGCCGCAUGCCCUUCACUGGGUGUGUCGGGGAACCAGGACUUUUACUUUGAAAAAAUUAGAGUGUUCAAAGCAGGCCUAUGCUCGGAUACAUUAGCAUGGAAUAAUAGAAUAGGACGUGUGGUUCUAUUUUGUUGGUUUCUAGGACCGCCGUAAUGAUUAAUAGGGAUAGUCGGGGGCAUCAGUAUUCAAUUGUCAGAGGUGAAAUUCUUGGAUUUAUUGAAGACUAACUACUGCGAAAGCAUUUGCCAAGGAUGUUUUCAUUAAUCGGUGAACGAAAGUUAGGGGAUCGAAGACGAUCAGAUACCGUCGUAGUCUUAACCAUAAACUAUGCCGACUAGGGAUCGGGCGAUGUUAUCUUUUUGACUCGCUCGGCACCUUACGAGAAAUCAAAGUUUUUGGGUUCUGGGGGGAGUAUGGUCGCAAGGCUGAAACUUAAAGAAAUUGACGGAAGGGCACCACCAGGAGUGGAGCCUGCGGCUUAAUUUGACUCAACACGGGGAAACUCACCAGUCCAGACACAAUAAAGAUUGACAGAUUGAGAGCUCUUUCUUGAUUUUGUGGGUGGUGGUGCAUGGCCGUUCUUAGUUGGUGGAGUGAUUUGUCUGCUUAAUUGCGAUAACGAACGAGACCUUAACCUGCUAAAUAGCCCGGCUAGCU
rnacentral:rRNA from 1 species